AAGGAUCAUUACCGAGUGCGGGUCCUUUGGGCCCAACCUCCCAUCCGUGUCUAUUGUACCCUGUUGCUUCGGCGGGCCCGCCGCUUGUCGGCCGCCGGGGGGGCGCCUCUGCCCCCCGGGCCCGUGCCCGCCGGAGACCCCAACACGAACACUGUCUGAAAGCGUGCAGUCUGAGUUGAUUGAAUGCAAUCAGUUAAAACUUUCAACAAUGGAUCUCUUGGUUCCGGCAUCGAUGAAGAACGCAGCGAAAUGCGAUAACUAAUGUGAAUUGCAGAAUUCAGUGAAUCAUCGAGUCUUUGAACGCACAUUGCGCCCCCUGGUAUUCCGGGGGGCAUGCCUGUCCGAGCGUCAUUGCUGCCCUCAAGCCCGGCUUGUGUGUUGGGUCGCCGUCCCCCUCUCCGGGGGGACGGGCCCGAAAGGCAGCGGCGGCACCGCGUCCGAUCCUCGAGCGUAUGGGGCUUUGUCACAUGCUCUGUAGGAUUGGCCGGCGCCUGCCGACGUUUUCCAACCAUUCUUUCCAGGUUGACCUCGGAUCAGGUAGGGAUACCCGCUGAACUAA
rnacentral:rRNA from 1 species